GAUGAACGCUGGCGGCGUGCCUAAUACAUGCAAGUCGAGCGAACAGACGAGGAGCUUGCUCCUCUGACGUUAGCGGCGGACGGGUGAGUAACACGUGGAUAACCUACCUAUAAGACUGGGAUAACUUCGGGAAACCGGAGCUAAUACCGGAUAAUAUAUUGAACCGCAUGGUUCAAUAGUGAAAGACGGUUUUGCAGUCACUUAUAGAUGGAUCCGCGCCGCAUUAGCUAGUUGGUAAGGUAACGGCUUACCAAGGCGACGAUGCGUAGCCGACCUGAGAGGGUGAUCGGCCACACUGGAACUGAGACACGGUCCAGACUCCUACGGGAGGCAGCAGUAGGGAAUCUUCCGCAAUGGGCGAAAGCCUGACGGAGCAACGCCGCGUGAGUGAUGAAGGUCUUCGGAUCGUAAAACUCUGUUAUUAGGGAAGAACAAAUGUGUAAGUAACUAUGCACGUCUUGACGGUACCUAAUCAGAAAGCCACGGCUAACUACGUG
rnacentral:rRNA from 1 species